rnacentral:siRNA from 1 species
ACGUGUUGACUGCAUGUAGGAGG